rnacentral:rRNA from 1 species
UACGUAGGGUGCGAGCGUUAAUCGGAAUUACUGGGCGUAAAGCGUGCGCAGGCGGUUCGUUAUGUCCGUUGUGAAAGCCCCGGGCUCAACCUGGGAAUGGCAAUGGAAACUGGCGGGCUAGAGUGUGGCAGAGGGGGGUGGAAUUCCAGGUGUAGCGGUGAAAUGCGUAGAUAUCUGGAGGAACACCGGUGGCGAAGGCGGCAUCCUGGACCGGCAUUGACGCUGAGGCGCGAAAGCUAGGGGAGCAAACGGG